UACGAAGGGGGCUAGCGUUGCUCGGAAUCACUGGGCGUAAAGCGCACGUAGGCGGACUCUUAAGUCGGUGGUGAAAUCCUGGAGCUCAACUCCAGAACUGCCUUCGAUACUGGGAGUCUCGAGUUCGGGAGAGGUGAGUGGAAUUGCGAGUGUAGAGGUGAAAUUCGUAGAUAUUCGCAAGAACACCAGUGGCGAAGGCGGCUCACUGGCCCGAUACUGACGCUGAGGUGCGAAAGCGUGGGGAGCAAACAGG
rnacentral:rRNA from 1 species